rnacentral:lncRNA from 1 species
CCCCCUGGGACACUGCACCCAAUAUUCACGUUGGGAGACGAUGACAAUAUGCCCAAUAUCGCAGGGGAUGUACACCCACCCUAGGAUAUUGUUCCUAUAUCGAGUGUGGGAGAAGACGCUAUUACUCCCAAUAACGGAGGGGCUGUGGCUGUACACCCCUCCUGUGAUAUUGUUCUUUAUAUCCUAGGGAAAAGAGGAUGAUAUUACACCCAAUACCGCAGGGGGUGUACACCCACUCAGUGAUGUUGUUCUUAAUGUACUCCACCUCCCACCACCAGGGAUAUCGUUCCUAAUAUCCAGGGGAAGAGAGGAUAACAUUAUGCCCAAUAUUGCUGGGGAGUAUACACAACCUCUGUGAUGUUGUUCCUAGGAUCCAAAGGUAGAGACGAUGAUAUUACUGGCCAUAUUGCAGGGGGUGUACACCCUUCUGUGAUAUCGUUUUUGACAUUCAGUUGGGGGAGACGAUCACAUUAAUCCCAAUAUCGCAGAAGGUGUACAGACCCCUGUGAUGUGGUUCCUAAUGUACAGGGGAAAGAGAAGAAUAUUAUUCUCAAUAUCGCAGGGUGUGUAACCACCCUGUCCCCUGUAUAUUGUCCCUAAUAUGCAGAGGGGUGGAGGCUGACAGUACUCCCAAUAUCCCAGAAGGUGCACACACACCUGUGAUAUAGUUUCUAAUAUCCAGCGGGAAAGAGGCUGAUUUUACUUUCGAUAUCACAGUGGGUGUACACCUCCCCAACCCCCGGGGUAUCGUUCCUAAUAUCCAGGCGGGAAGAAGAUGACAUUGCUGACAAUAUCAAGGGGUGGACAACUCUUCUGUGAUAUGGUUCCUGAUAUCCAGGGGGUGAGUGGAUGAUGUGUACACCCCGCCUGUGAUAUGAAUCCCAAAACCUAGAAGAAGAGAGAAUGACAUUGCUCUAAAACACACGGGUGUACACACCCCGCUGUGAUAUUGUUCCUCAUAACUUGUAGGGGAGAGCGUGAUAUUACUUCCAAUAUGACAGUGGCUUGACACCCAGUCUGUGAUAUUGGUUCUGCACACCAACUCUGUGCCCCUCUUUUCCAUGCGUUCUCUCCUCACUGUUGGAACCUCGGGGGAGGCUUUAUCUCUGGUUACAGAUGAAGAGACGAGGGGUCUGAGAGGUUAAGCAAGUUUGUUACUGGAAAGGGGUCCCGAUCCAGCCUCCAAGAGAGGUUUCUUGGAUCUCACAGAAGAAAGAAUUCGGGGCGAGUCCAUCAAGUGAAAGCAACUUUAUGAGGAAAGAAAAGGAAUAAAAGAAUGGCUACUCUGGCCGGGCGCAGCGGCUCACUCCUGUAAUCCUAGAACUUUGGGAUGCCGAGGCAGGUGGAUCACCUGAGGUGAGAAGUUCGAGACCAGCCUGGUCCAACAUGGCAAAACCCUGUCUCCACUAAAAUACAAAACAUUAACGGUGUGGUGGCAGGUGCCUGUAAUCCCAGCUACUAGGAAGGCUGAGGCAGGAGAAUCGCUUAACCCAGGAGGCGGAGGUUGUAGUGAGCCAAGAUCAUGCCAUUGCAUUCUAAUUCGGCCAACAGAGCAAGACUCCAUCUCAAAAAAAAAAAGAAAAAAAAA